rnacentral:rRNA from 1 species
UCGACCUGCAGGCGGCCGCGAAUUCACUAGUGAUUAGAGUUUGAUCCUAGCUCAGAACGAACGCUGGCGGCAUGCCUAACACAUGCAAGUCGAACGAAGGCUUCGGCCUUAGUGGCGCACGGGUGCGUAACGCGUGGGAAUCUGCCCCUUGGUUCGGAAUAACAGUUAGAAAUGACUGCUAAUACCGGAUGACGACGUAAGUCCAAAGAUUUAUCGCCGAGGGAUGAGCCCGCGUAGGAUUAGCUAGUUGGUGUGGUAAAGGCGCACCAAGGCGACGAUCCUAGCUGGUCUGAGAGGAUGAUCAGCCACACUGGGACUGAGACACGGCCCAGACUCCUACGGGAGGCAGCAGUGGGGAAUAUUGGACAAUGGGCGAAAGCCUGAUCCAGCAAUGCCGCGUGAGUGAUGAAGGCCUUAGGGUUGUAAAGCUCUUUUACCCGGGAUGAUAAUGACAGUACCGGGAGAAUAAGCUCCGGCUAACUCCGUGCCAGCAGCCGCGGUAAUACGAAUCGAAUUCCCGCGGCC